AGAGUUAAGGGGUGGGGUUUAGGAUUUAGGGUUUAGGGUUUAGAGUUGGGGAGUGGGGUUUAGGGUUUAGGGUUUAGAGUUAAGGGGUGGGGUUUAGGGUUUAGAGUUUAGGGUUUAGGGUUUAGGGUUUAGAGUUUAGGUUUUAGGGUUUAAUGUUGGGGAGUGGGAUUUUGGGAUAAGAUUUCAAAUUUUGAAAAAUAAAAAAAAAUUAAAUUUUUCAAAAGAUGAAAAGCUAUUUUGGUCAUUUUAGUUUUUGAGGGCUAUUUUUGUGACAUAAACUUAGAAAUGUGCUAUUUUGGAGAUUUGUCC
rnacentral:lncRNA from 1 species